rnacentral:rRNA from 1 species
GAUGAACGCUAGCGGCAGGCCUAAUACAUGCAAGUCGAACGGUGUCUUCGGACAUAGUGGCGCACGGGUGCGUCACACGUAUGCAACCUACCUUACAUCGGGGUCUAGCGUUUCGAAAAGGAAAUUAAUACCGCAUAAGGAGGUAACUGGGCAUCCAUCAGCUGUUAGAGAUUUAACGAUGUAAUCGGGGCAUGCGUCCAAUUAGCUAGUUGGAGAGGUAACGGCUCACCAAGGCUAUGAUUGGUAGGGGAACUGAGAGGUCAAUCCCCCACACUGGCACUGAGAUACGGGCCAGACUCCUACGGGAGGCAGCAGUAGGGAAUAUUGGGCAAUGGACGCAAGUCUGACCCAGCCAUGCCGCGUGCAGGAUGAAGGCGUUAUGCGUUGUAAACUGCUUUUAUACAGGAAGAAACGACUCUUGCGAGAGGCAUUGACGGUACUGUAUGAAUAAGCACCGGCUAACUCCGUGCCAGCCGCCGCCUAACAC